AUCCUGGCUCAGGAUGAACGCUGGCGGCGUGCCUAACACAUGCAAGUCGAGCGAUUACUUCGGUAAAGAGCGGCGGACGGGUGAGUAACGCGUGGGUAACCUGCCUCAUACACAUGGAUAACAUACCGAAAGGUAUGCUAAUACAGGAUAAUAUAAGAGAUUCACAUGGAUUUCUUAUCAAAGCUCCGGCGGUAUGAGAUGGACCCGCGUCUGAUUAGCUAGUUGGUAAGGUAAUGGCUUACCAAGGCGACGAUCAGUAGCCGACCUGAGAGGGUGAUCGGCCACAUUGGAACUGAGACACGGUCCAAACUCCUACGGGAGGCAGCAGUGGGGAAUAUUGCACAAUGGGCGAAAGCCUGAUGCAGCAACGCCGCGUGAGUGAUGAAGGCCUUCGGGUCGUAAAACUCUGUCCUCAAGGAAGAUAAUGACGGUACUUGAGGAGGAAGCCCCGGCUAACUACGUGCCAGCCGCCGC
rnacentral:rRNA from 1 species